AACGAACGCUGGCGGCAUGCCUAACACAUGCAAGUCGAACGAGACCUUCGGGUCUAGUUGCUCACGGGUGCGGCACGCGUCGGAAGCUUCCCUUAGGUUCGGAAUACCUCUCCGAAGGGGGUGCUAAUACCGGAUAAUUUCUUCUAACCAAAGAUAUAUCGCAUUUGGAUGGGCACGCGUUGGAUUAGCUAGUUGGUAGGGUAAAAGCCUACCAAGGCUACGUUCCAUCGCUGGUCUGAGAAGAUGCUCAGCAACACUGGGAGUGAGACACGGCCGGGACUCCUACGAGAGGCAGCAGUGGGGAAUAUUGGACAAUGGGCGAGAGCGUGAUCCAGCAAUGCCGUGUAAGUGAUGAAGGCCUGAAGGUUGUAGAGCUCUUUUAACAGGGAUGAGAAUGACAGUAACGGGAGAAUAAGGUACGGCUAACUCCGUG
rnacentral:rRNA from 1 species